rnacentral:rRNA from 1 species
AGUGAACGCUGGCGGUAGGCCUAACACAUGCAAGUCGAACGGCAGCACAGUAAGAGCUUGCUCUUACGGGUGGCGAGUGGCGGACGGGUGAGGAAUACAUCGGAAUCUACUUUUUCGUGGGGGAUAACGUAGGGAAACUUACGCUAAUACCGCAUACGACCUACGGGUGAAAGCAGUGGAUCUUCGGACCUUGCGCGAUUGAAUUAGCCGAUGUCGGAUUAGCUAGUUGGCGGGGUAAAGGCCCACCAAGGCGACGAUCCGUAGCUGGUCUGAGAGGAUGAUCAGCCACACUGGAACUGAGACACGGUCCAGACUCCUAAGGGAGGCAGCAGUGGGGAAUAUUGGACAAUGGGCGCAAGCCUGAUCCAGCCAUACCGCGUGGGUGAAGAAGGCCUUCGGGUUGUAAAGCCCUUUUGUUGGGAAAGAAAAGCAGCAGGUUAAUACCCCGCUGUUCUGACGGUACCCAAAGAAUAAGCACCGGCUAACUUCGUG